UGAUCCAUGAUGGGGAGGGAAACCCUUGCCGUAAGACCGAGGGUAACAUUAUGUCCCCUACUCUCGCUGGUAACAACGGAGUCUUUUCCUGGUCCACCUGCAGUCGGCAGUACCUCAGCCGCUUUCUUGGAACAGCCCAGGCAUCCUGUUUAGUGGAUGAACCCAAGCAGAUCGGUCAGUACAAGUAUCCUGAAGAGCUUCCCGGGCAGCUUUAUGGAGCAGACACACAGUGCAAAUGGCAGUUUGGCUCCAAAGCCAAACUAUGCAGUCUUGAUUUCGUCAAGGUAAAA